AAGGAUCAUUAUUGAAUUGUUUAAAAAUGGGGCAAGACGCUUUCGAGCUCUUCCUCUACAUUCUUUAUUCCUUAACACCUGUGAAUCGUUGCUGAGUCCGCUCAGUGGCACCUUUUUUACACAAACUCGUAUAAAGUAUAGAAAGUUAAAACAUAAAAUAAAAAUACAACUUUUGACAACGGAUCUCUUGGUUCUCCCAUCGAUGAAGAACGCAGCGAAAUGCGAUAAGUAAUGUGAAUUGCAGAAUUCAGUGAAUCAUCGAAUCUUUGAACGCACCUUGCGCUCCUUGGUAUUCCUUGGAGCAUGCCUGUUUGAGAGUCUUGAAUAUCUCUGCUUUUGCCUUUUUUUACGAAAAGGUGACAAGUCAGGUCCUUGGGUCUGCUUGCGGUUUGUUACGAACACAAGCUUACCUCAAAUGAAUUAGCUGGACUUCAGCAGAGUUGUUAAGUAACAUUGAAAACUCUCGUAAUAUGAAGUCUGCUCUCUAAUCAUUCUUUUUCCUUUCGAGGAAUUCGAAUACUUUCUAUUUUGGCCUCAAAUCAGGUAGGACUACCCGCUGAACUUAA
rnacentral:rRNA from 1 species